CCCCUUCCCUUCUCUCCCGAUCUCCUUCUUCACCCGACGCCGCUUCUUCCCUCUCGCGACGCCAAGCCACCGCCGCCUUCUUCCUCCCCUUCCUCUCGCCACCGCCGAUUCUCCUUGCACCCGAGCCCUCUUCCUCUGACCUAGCGUUGGUAGCCUGAUCCCUCUCCGACUCCACCGCUCGAUGCCACAAGUGGAUUGUGUCGGCUCCGUUCAACCUAAUGCCGACACUGACCCCUCUGCCCUAAUCUUCCCGGCCGAUCUCACCAGGAAUCGAUUGACGCAUCGACUGUCCACAGGCCUCGCUGAGCAGAGCCCUAGCUGACGAUCCACCAUCGACGAUCUUCUCCUUCCCUUGUCAUAGCCAGAGCAAAUCCAUCCCAGCCCUAGCGUGAGAGAUUUGAUCGAUCAUCCUUCUCAUUGUAGAACCUCUCGGUGCCCUGGUGCUAUCGUCGCUUCCUCUGCCCUGGUUCAUCUUCACAGCAACAAUCAGAUUGCAUCAAUGAGGAAGCUAUGAGUUUGAAUUUGGCUCCAGCCAUCCCUAUUGAGGAUGAUCUACAGAUUGUGCCACUAAUUUCUAGCAACCACUUCAGUUUUGGAAGGCAGUGGCUUCACUUGGUCUCGCCCACCGUCAUCGGUAGUGAGUUGCUCCGACCGUGAGUAGUGCAUUGGAUUUGGGGACUUUGAUUCGAGACAAGCGUCUCGACAUAGGAUUUCUGAUCACGAUAUUCUUUUUGAGAUGAGUACCUUUGACUUAUCUCUUGAUAUGAUCAUUUUUUAUUUUGAUAUGCAUAGUAGUUUAUAGCUAGUAGUAAUGAUUAUGUUUACUUCUACUUUGGUAUGUCACUUCUUAGUUCUUGUAGUCUGCCUAUAUUCCUAUCUGUUAUGCAUUCAUACUUAUAUUCUCUUGUUUGUUGGCAUGUUUACUCCUGUUCAUAGAAAUGGUAUCAUACAUUCCCCUAUUGUGUAGUAGUCUAGUUAUUUGACAUGUCUGACUUGUGUACGUAAUUUAUUGUUACCUAGAUCAUUGUAUGGAGUUAUUUCCUUUUUGGUACAUUUUAUAUCGAGAUGUAUACUGUCAGUAUCUGCAUGUUUAGUGUCAUGCACCAUCUUGCAUAAUUGCAUGCUAAGCAAUUAUCGGGCCCCCACGGGCGGGAUCAACCGGUUAUGACAUGGUAUUCUUGCAACAUGGGUCGGGAGGUCGAAGGUCUGCGGCAGCAAUUGCGAUAACAUCAAUAUCUGUCCGUGCUAAACACCUUCGACCGCCAUGUCAUCGCCGGGCCCGUAUUCACCGUGAUUUACUCCCUCUCAUACUCGUGGGGCAGGGGUGAGGGGGCCGCUGAGCGGCGGGACCCGCCUUUGCAACAUGCUAAGCAAUUAUCGGCUCCAUUAUUGUUGAGUACAUCACCAGUUACAUGAUCUGCACACACAACCACUCAUGGGUUAGUGGUACAUCAGGCAGGGUGUGUGCAGUUUACUCUGUCAGGGCUCCGCUGGUC